GGCGGCGGGGCGGCCAUGUCGGUGCAGGAGGACCCGGUGCAGCGGGAGAUCCACCAGGACUGGGCCAACCGCGAGUACAUCGAGGUGAUCACCAGCUCCAUCAAGAAGAUCGCGGACUUCCUCAACUCCUUCGACAUGUCGUGCCGGUCCCGGCUGGCCACGCUGAACGAGAAGCUGACGGCGCUGGAGCGCAGGAUCGAGUACAUCGAGGCCCGGGUCACCAAGGGUGAGACGCUGACAUAGGCCGGGGCGGCCCCGGUUCCUGCCCCACCGGAGCACCACCGCCCUGCUCGGGGCCUGCCUCCGCCGCCACCGCCGCCUCUGCUUGUGUUGCCAAUAAACCGCUGUGCUCCCGCCCUGCCUGCUCUCUGCCUGCCUGCCUGGGGCUGGGCCAUGGCAUGCCCGGCUCCCUGCCACCAUCCUGGAUGUCCAGAGUCAGCCCUUCCAUCUGCCUGGCCGGUGGGGUUUGGGCCUGAAUUCCUCCCCACAGUGGGGCCUGUGAUGGGAGGGGAUGCGCUGCAGGCCUGGCUGCUGUCAGCUCCAUGAGGCACCUCACCAGCCUUUGACGUGCUCUGUGCUCCUGCUGGGGUCACAGCAGAAAACCUGGUGAUCUUGAUGGUUUGGAGGGUGUCUCAGCCUUCCUGUGUGUGUGCUGUCAGGGCUGUGUGGGGCCAGCCUUGCCUGGCCUGGUGCACAUCACAUGCCAUAGGGGAGUGCCUUCUCUCUUGGGAGGCAAGUGGCAAGUAGAAGGAAAUCUCUUUUCCCUUCCCACCACUCCUCUGUGUGUCUCAGUUUUUCACUGGGCAUCUAGAGCUGCAGACUCGCAGCUCAUAUUCAGGUUGUUGGGGAGUCCAUGGAGUUGGUGCCAGUAAAGGUCUUGUUUCCCAGCAGGCUGUAAAUGUUUUGGUAUAUUGUCCAGCUGACAUCAGGUGGUUGCCCCUCAGCAUAGGUCUUCCUCCAAGGUCACAGUUUGUUCUCUGUAGGAAGCUCUGUGUUUUCCAUUGAGUAAGUGUGCCUCCAGCCUUUUCCCUCAGCUCACGUAGCCAGUUACACUUUACUGUCAGGUUGGGCUGCACAUCCAGGAGGCUUGGCUGCUUAUGGUGUGUAGUCCCAUUGGAAAUAAGUGCUUUGUAGCAACCCUGCAGAACUUAUAGUGGAGUGGAGCAGCCAUGGGUUAUUGCCCUUUUGCUCUGGGGUGAUACCAAAUGAUGAGUCUGAGUGCUGUCAUACAGGAUUGGCAGGUAGAGGGAAAGCACCUAUCUCUUUCCUCAGAGGCAGUUGCUCUGUGGCCCAGGUGCAUCAAAAGUAUGCCUGUGGCCUGUGCACUGCUCAUUCUGAAUGUGCUGGAGUGGAGCCGUGAGAUCUCUGUCCUCUUGGAGAACUUGCCUGGACAAGGCCCUGAGCAGCUUGAUCUGACUGAAGUUAGCUCCACUUUGAAGGAGGGUGUGUGUGUUGCGGGGAGGCGUGUGGGUAGAGGAUACCAGAGGUCCCAGUCUAGAUUAUCCUAAGAUUCUUCACCCAAAGACUGAAUGGGAGACAGAGGGUACCACGGACAUCCCUGGGAUAGGGUCUGUACCAGGCUGACCUCUUCACCCGAGAUCUGUUUCCUGUUCCUGAUCCCAGCUAGUAGUAUGGUGCGUGUCUCUGAUCACUUGCUGGUCCCCUGACAGGCUGUUGUAACGGUUCUCCUUCUUUCCUCUGACCCCAGUGUUUCUUGCAGGAAUGGGUGUUGCCAUGCAGUUGGUGUGGUCAAAGCAGUUUUGGUGUAGGGCUCUGUCUUCCACAGGGUACUGCUCCUCCCCGGACAUACACUGUCACAGAGCUGGAGCGCUGGGAUCAGCCUCUCCGGUUCAUCUCCCAGCAGGGAUGCUGGGCAGCUCCCUGCAGUUUAGAGUCCUGCCCUUUCCCUUUCAGGGAGUCUCAGUAGUUCCCUACGGCUUUGCAAGACCAGGCUUCUGCUCUGGGUGCUGCUCAGUGCAGCCCAUCUCUGGGAGGUGGGGAAGUCUCCUGGUGCUUAGGCUGAUACUGCUGCUUCCAGUAGCUGCUCUGGUGUGCAGCCUUGUUAGUAGGUGGAGCUUUGAUGUCUUUGAUUGUUUUAAAGACUGGGGAAUUCUGCUUGUCCUUUUUUUUUUUUUCCUUGUACUGUGUUUUUUUCAGAAUAUGAUGUCCCAGGAACUCACAUUAAACUUUUCUGGAGUAGAUUUGUGUAUUCCAUAUCAGGAGAUUGAUUUACAUGCCGUGUUAGUGGUGCUGUUCUCCCUGCCACACAUUUAAUGUAGCAGGAGAUGACAGUGUGCUUUCCUUUUACCCUGGGAGAGCUGGGUGCUUGGACACCCUUGCUGCUGCGGUUAUUGGUAGCUGAGAUCUUUUCCCAGAGCUUGGGCUGGAGAACAAGCUGGUUUGAAGCCUCUUAGGAAGGUGCCAGAACGGUGCAUUUUCAAUAGAGCGUGAGCUGCAUCUGUAGCUUGAGAAAGGUUUGCACUCUCAAAUGGUAGCAGUGGGCUUCUGCUGCAGGACAGGCAGCCCGACCUCAUGGAGUGGUCAGAGCAAUCCUGCAAUCCUCACUUGAGUAACAGUUUGGGAAUGAGUGGCAGUACUGAAUUCUGAUCUUGGGCGGGAGCUGAGGUAAUACUGUAUUGGCUAUGAUACUGUUUGUCUGGUGUCAGCACAAGAGGGAGAAGCUUUGUUGUAGUGUCCAAUCUAAAGCACAUAUUUUAAGAUGAAUUGAUUGGACCAGACUUUACAAAUAAUCCUAGCUUCUAGUAAAUAACCUUUGGGCUCUCUAGGUCAGAGCCUUGAUAUUUGGAAACGUCUUUAAAACCAAAUGUAUCUUUAUCCCUUCUUCAUUGAGGUGAUUGAACCUGAUAAUAACACAGUGGUCUGAGGUGAUAUCAAGAGGGGAAUGUGUUAGGACACAACUGAGUUGUCAGCUGGGAAGCUCACAGGGGUAUGGAAGGUUUCAGAUUCCCUGAGAUCUUUUCCAGUUUGCUAGACAAGGAUGGAGGUGGGAAGGGACCCCAGGGAACUGGAGGGAGAGGAGAGGCACUGAGUGUGAGCAGAUUUUGUUGCAGAUUGGUCUUGCAAGGCUGGUCAGGGGUGGAUCAGGAGAGUGCCCUCAGACCCUACACUGAUGCCUUGUGCUCGCUGCAGGACUUGGGGGCUCAGCCAGGCAGCAGCUGGGAGCAGUUCGUUGCUCCCCACUUCUCUAGCAGUCAGCAGCCCCUUCCUCAGAUCCCUGGCACCCCAAACCUUUUGGGAGAAGGGCAGGUGUUUUGUAUAGUAACAAUGGAAUUGCACUGAUGACAUGAUUAUGGAUGUGAUGAAACAGACAUUAUUCAAAUUCACCACCAGGAAUGUAAUAAACUACA
ensembl:lncRNA